CCUACGGGAGGCAGCAGUGGGGAAUAUUGGACAAUGGGCGAAAGCCUGAUCCAGCCAUGCCGCGUGUGUGAAGAAGGCCUUCGGGUUGUAAAGCACUUUCAGUGGGGAAGAAAGCCUUGGGGCUAAUACCCUCGAGGAAGGACAUCACCCACAGAAGAAGCACCGGCUAACUCCGUGCCAGCAGCCGCGGUAAUACGGAGGGUGCGAGCGUUAAUCGGAAUUACUGGGCGUAAAGCGCGCGUAGGCGGUCUGAUAAGCCGGUUGUGAAAGCCCCGGGCUCAACCUGGGAACGGCAUCCGGAACUGUCAGGCUAGAGUGCAGGAGAGGAAGGUAAAAUUCCCGGUGUAGCGGUGAAAUGCGUAGAGAUCGGGAGGAAUACCAGUGGCGAAGGCGGCCUUCUGGACUGACACUGACGCUGAGGUGCGAAAGCGUGGGUAGCAAACAGGAUUAGAUACCCUUGUAGUC
rnacentral:rRNA from 1 species